AGUGGCGGACGGGUGAGUAACGCGUGAGAAUCUGCCUUGGGGUCGGGGACAACCACUGGAAACGGUGGCUAAUACCGGAUAAGCCGAUUGGUGAAAGAUUUAUUGCCCGAAGAGGAGCUCGCGUCUGAUUAGCUAGUUGGUGAGGUAAGAGCUCACCAAGGCAGCGAUCAGUAGCUGGUCUGAGAGGACGAUCAGCCACACUGGGACUGAGACACGGCCCAGACUCCUACGGGAGGCAGCAGUGGGGAAUUUUCCGCAAUGGGCGAAAGCCUGACGGAGCAAGACCGCGUGAGGGAGGAAGGCUCUUGGGUUGUAAACCUCUUUUCUCAGGGAAGAAGCUCUGACGGUACCUGAGGAAUCAGCCUCGGCUAACUCCGUGCCAGCAGCCGCGGUAAUACGGAGGAGGCAAGCGUUAUCCGGAAUUAUUGGGCGUAAAGCGUCCGCAGGUGGCGAUUCAAGUCUGCUGUCAAAGCACGGGGCUUAACUCCGUAAAGGCAGUGGAAACUGAAUAGCUAGAGUGCCGUAGGGGUAGAGGGAAUUCCCGGUGUAGCGGUGAAAUGCGUAGAGAUCGGGAGGAACAUCGGUGGCGAAAGCGCUCUACUGGACGGCAACUGACACUCAGGGACGAAAGCUAGGGGAGCGAAUGGGAUUAGAUACCCC
rnacentral:rRNA from 1 species